rnacentral:rRNA from 1 species
UACAGAGGGGGCAAGCGUUGUUCGGAAUUACUGGGCGUAAAGGGCGCGUAGGCGGCCUGUUAAGUCGAACGUGAAAUCCCCGGGCUCAACCCGGGAACUGCGUCCGAUACUGGCAGGCUUGAAUCCGGGAGAGGGAUGCGGAAUUCCAGGUGUAGCGGUGAAAUGCGUAGAUAUCUGGAGGAACACCGGUGGCGAAGGCGGUUCUCUGGGCCUUACCUGACGCUGAGGAGCGAAAGCAUGGGGAGCAAACAGG